rnacentral:snRNA from 1 species
CGCUCUUGUUUCUCUUCAUAUCGUAUAAAUCUUUCGCCUUUUACUAAAGAUUUCCGUGGAGAGGAACAACAAGAGUAUUACUCAAUUUUUUGAUGCCCUGCUAUUGUGGGGCU